AUACGGAGGGUGCAAGCGUUGUUCGGAAUUAUUGGGCGUAAAGAGCAUGUAGGCGGACUGUUAAGUCUGGUGUGAAAGCCCGGGGCUCAACCCCGGAAGUGCAUUGGAUACUGGCAGUCUUGAGUAUGGGAGAGGAAAGUGGAAUCCCGAGUGUAGGAGUGAAAUCCGUAGAUAUUCGGAGGAACACCAGUGGCGAAGGCGGCUUUCUGGACCAAUACUGACGCUGAGAUGCGAAAGCGUGGGGAGCGAACAGGAUUAGAAACCCUAGUAGUCC
rnacentral:rRNA from 1 species